CACUCCUGCGGGAGGCAGCAGUAGGGAAUCUUCGGCAAUGGGGGCAACCCUGACCGAGCAACGCCGCGUGAGUGAAGAAGGUUUUCGGAUCGUAAAGCUCUGUUGUAAGUCAAGAACGAGUGUGAGAGUGGAAAGUUCACACUGUGACGGUAGCUUACCAGAAAGGGACGGCUAACUACGUGCCAGCAGCCGCGGUAAUACGUAGGUCCCGAGCGUUGUCCGGAUUUAUUGGGCGUAAAGCGAGCGCAGGCGGUUUGAUAAGUCUGAAGUUAAAGGCUGUGGCUCAACCAUAGUUCGCUUUGGAAACUGUCAAACUUGAGUGCAGAAGGGGAGAGUGGAAUUCCAUGUGUAGCGGUGAAAUGCGUAGAUAUAUGGAGGAACACCGGUGGCGAAAGCGGCUCUCUGGUCUGUAACUGACGCUGAGGCUCGAAAGCGUGGGGAGCGAACAGGAUUAGAAACCCUGGUAGUCCCAUGA
rnacentral:rRNA from 1 species